AGCGAACGCUGGCGGCAGGCUUAACACAUGCAAGUCGAGCGGGCGUAGCAAUACGUCAGCGGCAGACGGGUGGGUAACGCGUGGGAACGUACCUUUUGGUUCGGAACAACACAGGGAAACUUGUGCUAAUACCGGAUAAGCCCUUACGGGGAAAGAUUUAUCGCCGAAAGAUCGGCCCGCGUCUGAUUAGCUAGUUGGUAAGGUAACGGCUCACCAAGGCGACGAUUAGUAGCUGGUCUGAGAGGAUGAUUAGCCACAUUGGGACUGAGACACGGCCCAAACUCCUACGGGAGGCAGCAGUGGGGAAUAUUGGACAAUGGGGGCAACCCUGAUCCAGCCAUGCCGCGUGAGUGAUGAAGGCCCUAGGGUUGUAAAGCUCUUUUGUGCGGGAAGAUAAUGACGGUACCGCAAGAAUAAGCCCCGGCUAACUUCGUG
rnacentral:rRNA from 1 species